AUGGCUUGUCAUUGUGCCGGGCCUCGAAUGCUUUCAAAAAUUGAAAUGUCUCCACCACAUGAUCAACAACAAUCGAUCAUACAAACAUAUACAAGGCCAAAAUCUCAUGGACGUAGCAACGAAAGAACUAGGAUGAGGAGAGCAUACCAUGUCCCCAACAUCGAGACCACUCACGGGCCGUGCUUCAACGCUCUCAGGUGCGGCGCAAUACUUGUUGCACUCUUGUUGGAUGAACAACCACCUCUUUUGAAUCGAGGUGAUGCCACGGUUGCUCGUAAUUUGGUAGGGCUCAAACAUCUUCCUUUUAUGAAAUGUUUUGUGGACUCUCAUCCAAAAAAUAAGGCCCUUUUGUUGCGCGCCGGUCCUCGGAUCUUGGCUAAUCUCCAUCCAACAUUGGUAAAUCAACUUGUCCUCCUCUUGUGUAUAUGA
rnacentral:rRNA from 1 species